UACGUAGGCAGCAAGCGUUGUUCGGAGUUACUGGGCGUAAAGGGUGUGUAGGCGGUUGGAUAAGUGUGGUGUGAAAUCUCCCGGCUUAACUGGGAGGGUGCGCUACAAACUGUCUGACUAGAGUGUGGGAGUGGUAGUGAAUUCCUGGUGUAGCGGUGAAAUGCGUAGAUAUCAGGAGGAACACCGGUGGUGUAGACGGCUUACUGGACCAUAACUGACGCUGAGACACGAAAGCGUGGGUAGCAAACAGG
rnacentral:rRNA from 1 species